AUUGAACGCUGGCGGCAGGCCUAACACAUGCAAGUCGAACGAGUGGCGGACGGGUGAGUAAUGUCUGGGAAACUGGCUGAAGGAGGGGGAUAACUACUGGAAACGGUAGCUAAUAACGCAUACCAGCAGCAGUGCCCAGAUGGGAUUAGCUAGUUGGUGGGGUAACGGCUCACCAAGGAGACGAUCCCUAGCUUGUAUGAGAGGAUGACCAGCCACACUGGAACGGAGACACGGUCCAGACUCCUACGGUAGGCAGCAGUGGGGAAUAUUGCACAAUGGGCGCAAGCCUGAUGCAGCCAUGCCGCGUGUAUGAAGAAGGCCUUCGGGUUGUAAAGUACUUUCAGCGGGGAGGCGUUACCCGCAGAAGAAGCACCGGCUAACUCCGGGCCAGCAGCCGCGGUAAUAC
rnacentral:rRNA from 1 species